UAAGGAGUACGAGGAAACCGCCGAAAGAAUUUCGGCAGGUCCGGACUCCAGGUCGAUCGCCUGGCUCUUCACCACUGUUUAGUUUUCAGGGACUCACUCCCUGAAAAACGUGGGCUUGUAGCUCAGUCGGUGAGAGCGCACGCCUGAUAAGCGUGAGGUCGGUGGUUCGAGUCCACCCAGGCCCACCAGUUGAGAAGUGGGAAGCGAGAAGUGAGAAGUGGGGACAAAAUUAAUUCCCACUUCCCACCUUCAAACGCCCACAUCCAAUAGAGUGGGGGUGUAGCUCAGCUGGGAGAGCACCUGCUUUGCACGCAGGGGGUCAGCGGUUCGAAUCCGCUCAUCUCCACCAGGUUGUUCUUUGAAAACUGCACAGCGAGGAAGCGUCAUAGGGAACCACCUAAGGAAGAUGGUCAAGCUAGUAAGGGCAUACGGUGGAUGCCUAGGCGCUAAGAGGCGAAGAAGGGCGUGGUAAGCUGCGAAAAGCCUCGGGGAGCCGCAAGCAGGCGUUGAUCCGGGGAUAC
rnacentral:misc_RNA from 1 species